rnacentral:rRNA from 1 species
GACGAACGCUGGCGGCGUGCUUAACACAUGCAAGUCGAACGGUGAAGCGCCUUCCUUUUUGGUGGGUGUGGAUGAGUGGCGAACGGGUGAGUAACACGUGAGUAACCUGCCCCCUUCUUCGGGAUAACCGCAUGAAAGUGUGGCUAAUACGGGAUAUUCUGGGUCUGUCGCAUGAUGGGUCUGGGAAAGAUAUUGUUUCGGUGGGGGAUGGGCUCGCGGCCUAUCAGCUUGUUGGUGGGGUGAUGGCCUACCAAGGCGGUGACGGGUAGCCGGCCUGAGAGGGUUGACGGUCACACUGGGACUGAGGCACGGCCCACACUCCUACGGGAGGCAGCAGUGGGGAAUCUUGCACAAUGGGCGAUAGCCUGAUGCAGCGACGCCGCGUGAGGGAUGGACGCCUUCGGGUGGUAAACCUCUUUCGCCAGUGAAGCAGGCCUGCCUCGUUUGUGGGUGGGUUGACGGUAGCUGGAUAAGAAGCGCCGGCUAACUACGUG